AAAACCAAGAGCUAAUAAGUGCGUGCAUGUCCGUGUGUAAGUAGCACGUAUUUUCCCCCAGUGAUCGUUUCUCUUCCGUCGAGUCGACCGUCGUCGUCGCGUUGUGUGUGUCAUACUACGAUAAGUCCAGUGAAGGAGCUACUUUCGCGAGGUGUGUGCGAGUGUAUAUUUGUACGAACGCUGCGCUGCAUAUUGCAAAACACGAGUGCGCAGCGUCGACGACGACGUUAUCAUCCGCCCCAUAUAAAUGACCAGUUGAGAAAAUGCGCCGCGCUGCUGCUGGCCAUCGCGGGCGAGUCUUCCUGGGGACGGCUGUGCUCGCCCUACUCGUGUGGCAAGCUGAGGCCUCUGAUGCAGAUGUCAGACUUACGCACGAUGGGCCUGCCGUGCUUGGAAGCACCAUCACCUUUAAGGCAGAACUUGUGGAUAGCGAUGGGCGAGCUCCGUCAGGAAGUUUUCAAUACACAUGGAGAGAUAAUGCUGUGGAGCAGCAUUAUUAUGAGACUGAAACUACAUCAAACACAACAGUUUACUAUAGUGUAAGUUAUCCUGCUUCAAAAUACCAUGUGGGUGAAUACACAAUGGAAGUAGCUGUUUGCAAAUGGGGAUGGCUUAGUAUUCACUGUGGAGACUAUACAAGCAGAAGGGUGUAUUUUCGAGUCAGUCCUUUGAUGAAUGGAAAUAUAACCAUUGAACAAUCUAAUCAGACUGUGAGCACUGAGUUUGUAGCUUCAUCUGAAGUAGCUAAAAUAUCUGUUAACUUGCGUAAGGGUGAUCUUGAUUAUAUAACGAAGGCAGCAACAUCAAUUACAACUUAUUGGUUUGUUGACUGCAAAGCUUACAACCAAACUAAUGACUUCACGUUUGUUCACAACUUUACAAAUCCCAAGUCUUUCCACACUAUUGAAGCUCUUGUGGUAGCUUCUUUUGAGCCACCAACUACAACAACUGUAGCCCCAACAACUACAAGCACUACACCAUCACCUGUACCAACAACUCCUAAACCAUCCAAUAAUACUGAUACAAACUCAACCACAACUACAACCACAACUACAACUACUACACCUACACCUACAACCACUCCUACACUACCAACUACAACCAUAGCUCCUCGAAAUUCUACCGUUUUGUCAAAUGCAACAGUUCCAUUACUGGCAAAUGCUACAUUCCCUUACAUAUGCAACUCAAUCUUGGAUCCCAAACCAAAUACAACGUAUGGUUAUUUUCAAAGAGAAGUUAAAAUAAGAGCUCCAAUUUCAAAAUUAUCAAUCGAAGGUUCAACGUGGAUUCAACCGUGGAACAGUCUUUCUUUAUCAAUAUCCUGCAAUGGCACGGGUCCAUUUUAUAAGUGCAUUGAAAUCCACCUGGGAAAAUACAAUGUUACUGGCAAUGAGACUUGUAGUCAGGACAGUGACAAAUUGGAAACUUGUAAAUUUAACUUUGAGCAUUAUUUUCUCGAGCCUCUUGAAUACACAGUUUUGAUAAUACUGGGCAAUGAAGUCAGCAAAGAAAUUCAUCCUGUAGCAGUUAACAUUUAUAAACUGAUGCCGAAGCCGCAGCUGUCAGUAAUCGUGGUGCCAGUCUCCUGUUCCUUGGUGGCGAUCGUGCUAAUCAUUUUCGGCAUCGCCUACUACGUUCAGAACAGAUCGCGCUUCACUGUGGAGGUUGCAGACUUUGAUUUCGGACAGAGCACCGCCGACAUGGAGUAUAAGACGUUCACCGAGCGACUGCGAGACUCGUUCAAUAAUGCUGUAAGGCCCGGCUCCCAACACGAAAGAUUGUUAGGCGCGAACUCGCUCGGUACAUACGGGAGCAUGAACUAAUGACAAACUUCUCGGAUACUUGAAAUCAAUCUACGCUUUCACACGCAUUAAAAUCUUUAGCGGUGAUAAAUAACGCUUGUUGAACCGAUACGGACGGCUAUUUUUAACUUGAAACUGACACUCUCUUAUAUGAAAAUACUUGAGAAAUUCUUUCUCGUAUUUUUCAAUGCACAUACGUAGAAUUAAUUUUUCUAACAAAGAGUGUACAUGGUUUUAACCAACCAAGAGGUAGCAACAUCCGUCUCGGGUUACAAACAACUGAAUAACACGAAAGGCUUGCAAUGACAAAGCGCACAAGAGAACGCGGAACAGUGAUGAGGAUAAACAUCACGAGCAAGACGAGAACGCAGCAUACGAAAUUUGAUGACCCACUAAAAUCGAUUGAAUCCUCGAGGUCCCGCAUCUCUGGGCUGCAGUAUUGUUAUAGAUAUUAAGUGUGUUUUCGAUCGAUGCGCGAUAAUCAGGAGACCACGUUAGAUUAUUCGAGGAUAAUUGUACAUAUAAUCAUUGGACAGAAGGAGAAUAAAAUGCGAUGCGUAAGAGUAUACUGAUGUUUCACGCAUGUAAGAGGCUGUGAGAGAGUGGCAAUGAAGAAGAGUUAAUGAGAAAGUGAAUGCGCGUUGGUAACAUUGCGUUAGCGCAUCGACGUGCUCCACAUUCUAUAUGUCUGUCGACGGAGUUGUGACUGCUUGUGUCUUUUUCACAACGUUACUAUACGUGCGAUUGUUUUCCCUUUUUAAAAAAAAAAUCUCCUUGUCUUCGGUUUUAUUUCCCAAUUAUUAUCGACACGACAGAUCGUGCAAGUAUCUAUUUAUUACCCUUUUAUGCAAUUUUUUAAUAAACAUGUAUACAUGUAUCGUUGCGACGUAAUACCAUUUUUCACAUGGUCAGAUUUUUUCAUACUGUACACGGCCAUUUCUAAUUUUUUAUUUUUCAUAUAAUAUAUAAAUGAUAUUGUACUGUAUAUUUAUAAAUUACGAUUACGCUGUUGAUCGACGAAGAAAGAAAUGUUUGCGCUCGGGUAUAUUUUAUUAUUUAUAUUUAUAGCGAUUAAAUGAUACUUCGAGAAUGUGUAAGAAUUGUAAAAUAUUAGAGAACUAUAUAAUUAUACGAUGAUAUCAUGACGUCACUAACGACACUGAAUUGUUUUGUUAACGCGAAUAUACAUACGCAUAAGAAUAAAAUGGCGAAACGGGCAAAUUAAAAAAGGUAUAGCCAAUUUACAAUAAACGAAUAAUGAAAACUGACA